GCGCGCGCAUUCCGCAAGUUUUUUUUCUUUUCUCAGGGACAGACUGCGCUAAGAGUGAACAAACUAAAGAGUUCCUGACAUGAUCCAGAGGUCUGGUUAGCCCUGACCAUUAUCCGAUCGCUAAGACGCUUGCACACUCCCUCAAAGCUCCAUUUGUUUAAGCCCACCUAGAAAUGUUUUUCCCUGAGGGACAGACUGCGCUAAGAGUGAACAAACUAACGAGUUCAUGACAUGAUCCAGGGAUCUGAUGCAACCACCCCCCAUUGUCAGUGUCCAGUUGGUCAUCAAAAUGCCGGGAUCUCUUGCAAGGUUCAUCAACACUUGGCCAGUUGGUGCGGAACAAGGACCAUGAGGGAUGUAGAACUCAACUCGAGACAAGGUCAACAAUUGACGAGAGAAGAUACUGCCAGGACAGGUCUGAUGGGACUGGAACACGGCCUAGCCUGGGCUCCCAAGGCCGAAGAGGAGAUCCAGGUCAUUUAAUGGAGGACCAAGGGCAAAGGACGGAGGUCUUCGACAGACAAGAGAACUCUGGUGGGGAGGAUGAUCUGCUGGGUAGCUCCACGCUCACCUUGGCACCUCUUGUGGCCAGCACCCCCCGUUCGCCGCUCCCAGCCCCUCAUCAUCCACAGAAGCAGGUAGCUGACAUGAUUUACACAAAGGCCAUGACUCAAUAGCAAUUGACACACGUUUUACACUUGCCACCGGCUCAGCAGUCACUGAGUCAUGUUCUGAUAUUGAGUCAUGUCACAUGUUUUUGUAGCCUUCAUAAAUAGACUUUAUCCUAAAAAGAGAAACUAUUUUAAUGGAAAUGUAUUGUGUAAUUUAUUGGUUAUAUUGUGUGAGAAAAAAAAUAACGUUUUCCUUUGAUAUUUUUAUACAUUGUAUCCAGGCCUCAUUUGCGACUCACUUGUUCCAUUUUCUGUUAUUUUGUUUAGCAAAAUUUCCAGAAUGAAAAGCUUGGAACUGUCCUCCUUUGUUCCUCUAUGCCCAAUCCCUUUCCAGAGAUAUGCAGCUUCUCUCAAUCCCCAAUCGGCUCUCUUUCACCUCUAAAAAGUGACACACGUUUAAAUUCAAGGGCUCUAUUCAGUCAAGCCUCCAUGAUAUUGUUAUUAUAAUGUGAUUGGCUGUGCAGUCUUCAGGGAUAUUGUUCUGAAUUCAUUUGAUUGGGUGUCAUAUUGAUAACAAUAGCUAAAUUACCAUCCAAUUUGGAAAGACUUUCAUGCAAAUGUUAUAAAAUCUGCUAAAUAAUUGGAAUUGUG